rnacentral:rRNA from 1 species
GCGAGAGAGAGCUUGUUUCUCGAGCGAGUGGCGAACGGGUGAGUAACGCGUGAGGAACCUGCCUCAAAGAGGGGGACAACAGUUGGAAACGACUGCUAAUACCGCAUAAGCCCACGGUGCCGCAUGGCACAGAGGGAAAAGGAGCAAUCCGCUUUGAGAUGGCCUCGCGUCCGAUUAGCUAGUUGGUGAGGUAACGGCCCACCAAGGCGACGAUCGGUAGCCGGACUGAGAGGUUGAACGGCCACAUUGGGACUGAGACACGGCCCAGACUCCUACGGGAGGCAGCAGUGGGGAAUAUUGCACAAUGGGGGGAACCCUGAUGCAGCGACGCCGCGUGGAGGAAGAAGGUCUUCGGAUUGUAAACUCCUGUUGUUGGGGAAGAUAAUGACGGUACCCAACAAGGAAGUGACGGCUAACUACGUGCCAGCAGCCGCGGUAAAACGUAGGUCACAAGCGUUGUCCGGAAUUACUGGGUGUAAAGGGAGCGCAGGCGGGAAGACAAGUUGGAAGUGAAAUCUAUGGGCUCAACCCAUAAACUGCUUUCAAAACUGUUUUUCUUGAGUAGUGCAGAGGUAGGCGGAAUUCCCGGUGUAGCGGUGGAAUG